UACCAGGCACCCGAGUGGUCGGGACGUUUAUUGGGCCUAAAGCAUCCGUAGCCGGUUCUACAAGUCUUCCGUUAAAUCCAACUGCUUAACAGGUGGGCUGCGGAAGAUACUAUAGAGCUAGGAGGCGGGAGAGGCAAGCGGUACUCGAUGGGUAGGGGUAAAAUCCGUUAGAUCCAUUGAAGACCACCAGUGGCGAAGGCG
rnacentral:rRNA from 1 species